CACGCAGUAAACGAUGAAUACUAGCUGUAUGCGAUAUACUGUAUGUGGCAAAGCGAAAGCGUUAAGUAUUCCACCUGGGGAGUACGUUCGCAAGAAUGAAACUCAAAGGAAUUGACGGGGACCCGCACAAGCGGUGGAUGAUGUGGUUUAAUUCGAUGCAACGCGAAAAACCUUACCCACCUUUGACAUGGUCGGAACCCUUUAGAGAUAGAGGGGUGCUCGAAAGAGAGCCGAUACACAGGUGC
rnacentral:rRNA from 1 species